GUGGGAAUGGAGUGUCAUGGUCAUCUGCAGCUCGGCAGUGGCUAAGAGAGUAUGAAAGUCUCUGACAAAAGGAGAGCGAAGGGAGGAAAAUUAUCCUUAAACUCUUCCUUCUGGGUAUCCCUGCUGUCCUCCUCACCAAUGGCGUUAUUUAGUGCAAUAUUUUUAAUGUUGGGCUUGAAUCUCAAUCAGGUAGGAAAUGGAGUCAAAAGGUAAGUGCUUGCUUAUCUUUAGAUUUCAGCCUGGAGGUGCAGCUUCUCCACCUUUUUUGUAUUUCUCUUUUUUUCCAUGUCUUUCUCUAGCCUCUCGAGUGGCAGAUGUAGUUACUGUUCAAAGGAAAUGUCAGCAGGUCAUUUAACAACUUUCCCUCUCCUCCAAGGGCUUGACUCUUAAUUAUACAUGGAAAGAUACACAAGAGAUUACAACAAGAGCAAUAGCAGCCAGCCAAAACCAAACUGAUUUAUUUAUAGCAUGUGACAUAUGGCAACAUAAGACAAGAUCUCUGGCUUAUGGGCAUUUUGGCAAGACAUGGGCUGGAUCCUAUGGCAACGCCUUGCAUUUGUGCAGCUCCCGUUUCUGCUGCUCUGUCCUGUUUUCUUCUUUCAUGUGUCAUCUGUAGGUCUUCAAAGAGAGGAUCCCAAUCUUCCUUGGCCAGUUUUGACAUGGACAUUGCUUAGACACAUGCCCACAGAUCCCAAUCCACUCUGGCUCAUCUGCCUUCCCAAAAGACUCCUGGCUAGUGCCGACUUCUUGCUCUCGUGUGCUCUGCACUGCACGCAGCUCUGUAGGGCUGGAAACCCAUUGCUUGCAGUGCCCCUAGACGUCUGCUCAGCAAAUCCUAAUGCUCAGCUUAGCACCCCUGUGCACCAGAGACCUGCCUGCGCUCUUGCUGAAUGA
rnacentral:lncRNA from 1 species